UUCUUUUGAGAUCGUAACGGUCGCACGUAAUUCAUUCAUUUAUUUCGUCGUUUGUUAUAAUAUCGAUUCAAGGUUUCCGAAGGAAAAUUGCAAGGAUUGUCAAGUGAAUGGGCUGUAACAAAGUGCACCCAACACCAAUAGUGAAGUUAUAAACAUAGAGGAAACUCUAUUACACGAUGACGGCGAAAUCUCGACUUUGUAUUCUGCACAGCUCUUGCAUUCGCUCUGAAGAGGGGUUGUCUGACUAUUUGGAACCGACAAAAAAAUAAACGUUUGUUAUGCUCUGACGAGGCUUAAUUGACUCGGAUUGUUGUUUUUCACCAUUCUCAAUACACCUUGCAUAUACAGGAUAAGAACCAACAAAUGACGAAACAAAAUUCAUCUAUAUCUUUUUUAGGGUUUUGGAAUUUUUGCAAGUGAUAUCUGUUAGAAUGGUUCAUUAAAUAUCAAGAACAAUUAACUUUAUUUCCAUAAAAUUUGACUUGAAUAGUUGUGUCAUAAAUUACGGCAAAUCGUGGAAGGAGAGUCAUCUAAUAAAUUGUAUAGCUCUAUACAAGCGUAUAACAACGUCUUGAACAAACAAAGAAUUUUUCUUAACAUACAGACGAAAUAGAACCAACUGUGAAUCGAACGCACACCCUUUCAAAUAAGAUAACUUUCAUACAAAUCGGUUCGACCAUUCGGGUGGUAUGCGCUUGAACAAAUAUUGUAAGACAUUGGAUCAAAAACAGAAUUCCUUCCGGAGCCGGCAAUGAAUAGAUAUAAGCAAUGAAUUUUAUAUAUCACGCGCGACGCAAAGAAAGAUUGUUUACGUAAUAUACGUGGGGCGUAAUUGAUAACGGCGCUUCAUCGCACGCAGCUCUGUUUGCUUAUCACAUUUGUUAAAAUUGUUUGCUUUAAUGAUUUUUAGUUAGCUAGCAGUAUUUACCCUUUAAAAUAUCAAUGAACCUCCACGGUGAAAUUGCCCUCGAUCUGUAUAAAAGUUCUUUGGAAACGAAAGAAUAUAAGGUCCCAUAGCUCAGCGAGUAGUGUAAAAAUGCUUGAUUUGAUAUAAUCUCUAACUUCAUCGAAAAAUGCUAGAGCCAUUUUUCCCGCCUUCCCAUGCGUCUACACUAACAUAUGUACAAAUGUACAUCAAGGCAUUGAUCUAUAAAAAAUGUCCGAUAUAAACGUAAAUAAUAUUGCAGAAUUAAGAUUCAGAAAGUAGUUAACUUUAUAGUGUGCGUACAUCAUGUGAUUUUCGAGUUUGACAUUUGAAGUCGCGCGCUCACUGCUCUGGCAGAAAACGUGCCGCAGUUGGCGCAGCUGCGCAACAGAGGACGAGUCGCAGUCGCUUGUACUGCCGCGGUGGCUGGCCUCGACAACUCGACAAGCUCGACUCUUGAGCUGCUCGAGCAAGCCGCGAGUGCCGACAGAGGUGUUGGUGUCGGUAAAUGUUCUCUCUGUCUGAGUGUCUGCCGUCUGGCUCUGUGCCCUGUGGCGGCGCGAGCGAGCAGCGAUCAUCGCGACACUGAGAGACAGAUAUAGCAGCAGCCAUCUUAUAUUUUGCCUUUGAGAAAAACACAGUCAACAGAGGCUGAGAACGGCGAAUUUUUGGGCCUUGGGAAUGACCGUCUUGGGAGGAGCUUGAGCCCAAGGGCAGCCCGGCCUCAGC